rnacentral:rRNA from 1 species
ACGAACGCUGGCGGCGUGCUUAACACAUGCAAGUCGAGCGGAAAGGCCCUUUCGGGGGUACUCGAGCGGCGAACGGGUGAGUAACACGUGAGUAAUCUGCCCUUCACUUGGGGAUAACCUCCGGAAACGGUGGCUAAUACCCGAUACGACCAUUCCUCGCAUGAGGUGGUGGUGGAAAGUUUUUCGGUGGGGGAUGUGCUGGCGGCCUAUCAGCUUGUUGGUGGGGUAAUGGCCUACCAAGGCUUCGACGGGUAGCCGGCCUGAGAGGGUGACCGGCCACACUGGGACUGAGACACGGCCCAGACUCCUACGGGAGGCAGCAGUGGGGAAUAUUGGACAAUGGGCGGAAGCCUGAUCCAGCAACGCCGCGUGAGGGAUGACGGCCUUCGGGUUGUAAACCUCUUUCACCUGUGACGAAGCGAAAGUGACGGUAGCAGGAGAAGAAGCACCGGCCAACUACGUG